rnacentral:rRNA from 1 species
AAUGUACCCUUCACUGCGGAAUAGCCACUGGAAACGGUGAGUAAUACCGCAUACGCCCUUCGGGGGAAAGAUUUAUCGGUGAAGGAUCAGCCCGCGUCUGAUUAGAUAGUUGGUGGGGUAACGGCCUACCAAGUCGACGAUCAGUAGCUGGUUUUAGAGGAUGAUCAGCAACACCGGGACUGAGACACGGCCCAGACUCCUACGGGAGGCAGCAGUGGGGAAUCUUAGACAAUGGGCGCAAGCCUGAUCNAGCCAUGCCGCGUGAGUGAUGAAGGCCUUAGGGUCGUAAAGCUCUUUCGCCAGGGAUGAUAAUGACAGUACCUGGUAAAGAAACCCCGGCUAACUCCGUGCCAGCAGCCGCGGUAAUACGGAGGGGGUUAGCGUUGUUCGGAAUUACUGGGCGUAAAGCGCACGUAGGCGGACUAUUAAGUCAGGGGUGAAAUCCCGGGGCUCAACCCCGGAACUGCCUUUGAUACUGGUAGUCUUGAGUUCGAGAGAGGUGAGUGGAAUUCCGAGUGUAGAGGUGAAAUUCGUAGAUAUUCGGAGGAACACCAGUG